GAUCCCUUUGGCGGCGGCGACUCUGGACGCGCGCGGGCCCUUCUCGCGGAUCUCCCCAGCUAGCCG
rnacentral:rRNA from 1 species